CACCGCGUGCUCCCUCUUUUGGAGUUGCGGUCAUGGACGAGCCGGGCAGCGCGCGCAUGAACGGAGAGGCAGACCCUGAAAAGAAGAAGAAGAGGAAGAAGAAGAAGAGCAGGACAGCUCCCUCAGGACACGGUGAACUAGGCGAGGAUGGAGAAGUGGAUGUGAGGAAGCUGGAGGAGAGAGAGAGGGAGGAGGAUGCAGAAGAAGGUGUACUGUACACUCACACUCCGCACUGUGCACUCAUUCAGCUCUGUAUUUAUUUAAAGCACAAUUCCUUCUCUGUUCGUCCUGAGCUCUGUUGAAGCAUUUACACAGGUUUUCUAGCGUUCGGCUGAAAAACAGCAUAUAUCUAUUGAUUUUUAUUUUCUGUCAGUUUUGAUUUAGUGAGGUCUUUUGUUGGCUACAGUCAGUGGGUUUCUGUUUUUCUCUCAGAGCGUUUUAGAGUGUCGGGGGAAUACAAACAAUAUAGAUGGAGAUACAGAACAGAUAGAGAUUACAGUGAAAAGUGCUUGAAAGUACAAUAAUAUAAGAGAGUAUAAUAGUACUCCAUUUUUGUCAUGUUUUUUCUCAUUUAUGUUCUAUUAUCUGGUUUUGUAUUUAUAAAAUUAUUUCUCAUUAAAAAAACAUUUAAUCUUCU
rnacentral:lncRNA from 1 species